UAGGACCGGCAAAUCAUUUACGCAUAAAUAAACCAGGAAAAUUUCUUGUAGCUGAAUUGAAACGCGGGAAAAUUGAAAGAAGCAGCGAAACCCUCGAGAGAGAGAAAAACAAUGGAAGUAAGCAGUCUUCCUCUUUCACCAACACAACGAGGGAAGCUGAUUUCUGCUGGAUACACUACUCGACUCUCACUCUCCUCGGUAUCUCCUCAUCAACUUGCUCAUGAUUUGAAUGUUUCCCAUGAAGAAGCUAUUGAGAUUCUGAAGAUUGCACUGAAAAAUGGUAAAAUGGGCGAAUCAAAUUCAACCCAUUCUGUCGGUACUGGUGCCCAGAGUGCAUGGGAUAUGCUGCAUGAAGAGGAUAUGAUGAGACGGAUUACAACCUCUUGUGGAGAUUUGGAUAACAUUCUAGGUGGAGGAAUUAGUUGUAAAGAAGUGACUGAGAUUGGUGGAGUGCCGGGCAUUGGCAAAACACAACUAGGGAUUCAGCUUGCUGUUAAUGUUCAAAUCCCAGUUGAAUAUGGUGGCCUCGUAGGAAAGGCAGUUUAUAUAGAUACAGAAGGCAGUUUCAUGGUGGAACGUGUUUAUCAAAUUGCUGAAGCAUGUGUUGCGAACAUUAUGGAAAAUCAUGUUCCUCAGCGGAAAGAUGCUCGAGUCUGCCAAAAAACCAUUCAGUGUAACAGUUUCCUGGAGAACAUUUUCUACUUCCGGAUAUGCAGCUACACAGAGCAAAUUGCCGCAAUAAACUACUUAGACAAGUUCAUCGAAGAACAUAAUGAUGUUAAAAUUGUCAUUAUAGAUAGUGUAACUUUUCACUUCCGCCAAGAUUUUGAUGACUGGGCCCAAAGGACACGAGUACUCAGUACAAUGGCUUUAAAGUUGAUGAAACUUGCGAAAAAGUUUGGUUUGGCGGUAAGUAUCCAUAUCAUCUCCUUUUUGGACUUUCUUACACUAAUUUUUCCAAUGAUGCAACUCCUUUAUUUCAGUCGUACUCCUAUAUCUCUAACUUCCAAACGUCCAACUGGCAUCAAGACUGUCCUCUGUAACCAGUGCAUUAGGUUUAGAAAGCAUUCCACUUUUUAGUAUACACUCCUAGUCGUACUCAUCUAUUCUGCCUUAUCUGUUUCUUACUUUCUGUAUUCGAACAAAAAAUAAAUGCAAUUAACCUUCUCAUUGCGUAAUCUGUAUCAUGAGUUUCUACUACAUGCAUUGUUCAUGGUAAUUUAUAAACGUCCAAUGCUCAUAUAAGCUAACCAGAAGAAAAAAAAGAAGUAACAGUAGCAUUUUUGAUAGCGAAGGUCACUCGUUUUCUUGCACCUUAAUUUCUUUUGGAGAUAUCUUUUUGUGGUAUGUUUAUAUUCAGGGAAUCACGGGUGGUCACUGACACUCCCUGGUCAUUCGCCUCCAUCCUCAUUUCUAUUGGUUGAUAUGUUAAUUCGUGGAUUUCCCAGCAUGAACUAGGGAAAUGCGGUGGUACUAUUAAACCAAGUGACAAAUAAGGUUGUGGAAGGCUCAUUUCAGUUAUCACUUGCACUAGGUGAUAGUUGGUCACAUGCUUGCACAAAUCGUGUAAUUUUGUACUGGAACGGGAACCAGCGGUAUGCAUAUAUU